rnacentral:rRNA from 1 species
GUGGAUUAGAUACCCUAGUAGUCCACGCUGUAAACGAUGUCAACUAGCCGUUGGGACACUUGAUGUCUUAGUGGCGCAGCUAACGCGAUAAGUUGACCGCCUGGGGAGUACGGUCGCAAGAUUAAAACUCAAAUGAAUUGACGGGGGCCCGCACAAGCGGUGGAGCAUGUGGUUUAAUUCGACGCAACGCGAAGAACCUUACCUACUCUUGACAUCCAGAGAACUUUCCAGAGAUGGAUUGGUGCCUUCGGGAACUCUGAGACAGGUGCUGCACGGCCGUCGACAGCU